rnacentral:lncRNA from 1 species
UUUUUAUUGAGACCAAUUUGGCCUGGGGAGAACCGCCUUCAGGCGUUUGGACUCAGUGGAGGUUGUGAGUGCCCAGCAGUGUGGCCUGAAUCUCCGUGGGGUUUAGGGAGACGAAAGGACCCCAGAUCGACGUCCCCUCGUUCCCACUUUGGGGAUCGGCGCUCUGGCUGUUUCGUGAAGGAGAGAGAGGAACUCAGAGUGGUUUUCCAGAUGGGAAUCACAUUGCUCUCUGUCCCUGAGAUCUUGCUGGAGACAGGGCUACUCAGUCCCUCUUUGCCAGAUUGAUACUGGAAAAGCAGUUUCUAUUGAGCCCCCAAAUGAAGAGUGAGUGCAGAUGAAGAGGAGGCAGGACUCACAAGCCCUUGAACUUUAUUCCAGAUCUGUUAGCACCUACAGGACCCUGCACCAGGAUUUCAUCUGUACUAUCAGCUUCUUCAAAGAGAGAGAGGUUGUUGACUCUUCAUGUGGAUGUCUGAGCUCAUAUCAGGUGUCUGAAAGAGGCAGAUUCUGAGGAUUUGGGUCAUGAUGGCUGCCAAAGCUUCUACUCCUGACUUAAAGGGCAACAAUCCUAGGAGACCACCAGCACUUACAUCCCUGGUAGGACAUGACACCUGCUUAUGGCUCAGAAGUGACAAAAGAGAAUUAUCAGGAUGGCAGUCCUUAUAACCAGAUGCUUAUCAACAUUCUUCACUACAUUCUGAAGAUGAAUUUCUACAAGGGAAAUUGUUUAUAUUUGUUGUUGGGGAUAGAUAAGGAAAGAAGAAAAAGGCUCUGGUGAGAAACCCAUUGUACCUUCUGGAUAUGAUCACUACCCAAUUUUAUCAGUGUCAUUGAUCACUAACCCAGUGCCUCGUAUGGUGCCAGGCACAGAGUUACUCCAAGAAUGUACAAUAAUGGCUGGAUUCUCUUUCUCCCUGUGCAACUCUUCAUGCAUGUGACUGAACUUAUAUUAAGUGUCUGAAGGAGGUUCGUUCUGAGGAUCUGGGACAUGAUGGGUGCUGAAGCUUCUACUCAAGAUUUGAAGGGCAGCUGUCCUCAGGAGACCCCUGGCACUUCCCUCCAUGGUGGGAUGUGAUGCCUGAUUCCAGUGAGUUCAUAGAGCUGAACAAAAGUACGUUGUGGAAUAGCUCCUGUGAGGUUCACAACAUAGUCCGGAAGAUGAGAAACUACUUUUUUUAGUAACCUGGAUUCCCAUCUAAGAGAUGCCUUACUUUAUCGUAAAGCAAUGAGUUGUUCACUUGAGGAGGGAACUUCAUGUUUAACAUGUAUUUGCAACAAAUUUACAUACAUUUUCUGCCUGUAUGAAUAGUUGUCAGUGAUGCCCAUGAAUUUCUCAGAUGGAUGUUGAAGUAUACAGUUAGAAGGUUAGAAGAUCUUCCUAGCAAUCUGUGAUUACGGGAGGCAGCAGAUGGCUGAAAUUCUGAUCCGAUGUGGCUGGUUAAUGCAUGAUCUGAAAACCCCUGCACUGGUGAUUUUGGGACAGAUCUAGAAUAUACCAAUAAAUAUAUUAACAUACCAAGUAGUCUAGGAGCAGCCACUGGGCGAACACCAAACCUUGCAUCCCUGCUGCUGUCUCUGAGCUCAGCAGACACGUCUUUGCAGAAGAGUUCUAUAAUGGUGGUACAAUGGUGCCCCCUCGUGACAGAAGCUUGAACUACAGCUUGAACAUCGAGAUGAAAAUAUACUGUCUACGUUGUUCAACACAAUAGCUAAUGGCAACUGUGGCAGUUGAACACCCGAAACGUGAUGAAUGUGACUGAGGAACUGAACUUUUAGUUUCAUUGUGACAUGAUGAAUGAAUUUAUUGAGCCCCAGGAAGAAGGAAAAUUAAAGAAGAGCAAAGAAUAAUAGCUGGACAGAAGAUGGGGGUCAUUGAACCUAUAUCCUAGUUGCCAGACCAGUAAACUGACCAUGGGACCUGGGGGAGGCAGCAGAUGACCGAAAACCUGGAGUGAUGUGGCUGAAUACCGCAUGAUCUGAAGACUGCACUGGUGGCUGCGGUAUGGGUCCAAAUUUUUCCUUAACAAAAACAAAAAAAGAGCCCAAAACCAUACUGACUAGUCCAGGAAUAGCCAUUAGGCAAACAACUUUUUGCUACCCUGGUGUUACCGAUUUCUGAACUCAACAGGUGAAUUCAAAGAUAUGCCUGUCUUUCCAGCAUGGGGAGCUGGAUUUGGGUCAGCUCAGGCGCAUGAUGUUGAACAGCUCUUAUGAGCUUCUGAUAGUGCCCAGGAAGUACAGAAACAACUGUCUACAAAUCUUUGAACUCAAGGCAUAUCACAGGGACAUUUGCUUUCUUCAACUAGAUAUCUGUUUUCUCAUAAAGAGAAACAAUGAGAAAUGGUUUUUCACAAUGCCUCGUUAGCCCUGAGGCUCAGCCAUCCCCUAGUGCUGUGUCCCAACAUUUAAAGGCCGUUGAAGUCCCACUCUAUGCCAUAUACUCUGUACAGGUUUUCUCAUUUACCCCUCAGGACAGCACUGUAAGGAUGGUGUGGUCAGUCCCAUUUCAUAGAUGACCAAACUCAGGCUUUCAGAGCCUAAGUCACUUCUCCAGAUAGGUGGUAGGAUUGAAAUGAGGUUCCAUCCCUCAUCAUCCAUAGACAGCCCUGAGUAGCCUCCCUUUUAGAAGAUGGGCUUCCAGGGCUUGAGAAAUGGUCAGAUUCCACCCCCCUGCUAUUGUGGACCAAUGCGUCCUCACUCCACAACCCCUCUGGGUGAUGAAGAAGAUAGAGAAGAUUAAAUCCCACCAUUUAUGCCAAGAGACCUGGGUGUAGGGCCACAUGAGUUGGUUGCUUCUCGAAGUGGUGAGUGGGCUCAGGCAGAAGCUCAAGUGUUGGCCUUGGGACAGGUGAGCUGGAGAGAAGGAAAGUAACAUACACUAAACUACUGUAAGAAAAUGCACUUUAUAUUUCAUCUCCUUUAAUCUUAACUGCUAUUCAAGGUACCUAUCACUUUGACAAUUAUUCAAAUCAGGGUACUUUAGGAAAGUUUAUGUAAAGCAGGGAAUAAACUCUUUUCUCUCCAGUUCAGCAGCUAACUCUAGAAUUACUUUUAAGUAUUUUUAAGUAUUUUUCCAUUUUUUUCUUGAUAUCUCCAGGACUCUCAAUGCUUGAAUUUUUCUCAAGGCCGACAGUACACACGCCCUAAGGUGUUCUUCACUAGUAUUUCUUUUUAAAUUACAAUCUAUAUAUAUCUUAUUCAUAUUAUUGAAGUUGAAAACACAUUCUAAAUGAAAAUAACACUAAGAAUGUCUGUAAAAUAACGGGGAAACAUUUUCAAACUACAUCUCAGAUGUUGGAUUAGUAUCCAUAAUUUAUAGGGCAAACUCAGUAACAAAACAGUUGGCAACUAAUUUUGACAUAGAAUUCCAAUAGAUAUAGACAUGAACAAGGAACUUGUUGAUUAUGCUAAAACUAUAAGAACUAAUAAGAUGCUAAUAUAAAUCCUCAGAAGAAUAUUAAGUGGAAAAGACAGCUUGCAAAAGGAGAUGAUUAAUGUGGUUGCACUUUUUGGCAAAGAUUACGUGCAUAUGUAGGUGAACAUGGUCAUGUGCACCUCAUCCACAGAAACAUGUCUGGAAAGUGUGCACCAUUCUAUGGACAACAGACCUUUUGGGUCAGGAGGUAGGAGUUGAGCUACUGAGAGGUGAAGAUUAAUUACAAUUCAUAUAUGUGCUUUUGUAUAUUGUCUGAAAUUUGGUAUUCAGGAAUAAAAAUAUUUUGAUGAAUAUUUAGACACAACAUAACAUACAUUUGCACAGAUUGACAAAAGUAAUGUGUAUUAUGUUCAUUAAUUUGAAAUAGCUAUUACUGUAUUCUAUUUAAUGGUGAAGGAAGUAGUUAAGUAGAAGGACACAAAACAAGUCUCAACAAAUUUAAAAAAUCAAAAUCAUAUCAAGUAUGUUCUCAGACAAAAAUGUAAUAAAAGUAGAAAUCAAUAACAAGAGGAACCUGGGAAACUGUACAAAUAUGUGGAAAAUAAACAAACAGCAUGCUCCAGAAUGACCACUGAGUCAAGAAAAAAAAUAUGGAGGAUAUCAAAAAGUUAUUUGAAACAAAUGAAAAUGGAAACACAACAUACCAAAAUCUAUGGGAUACAGCAAAAGCAGUGCUUAGAGAAAAAUUUGUAGCAAUAGAUGCCUACAUCAAAAAAGUAAAAAGAUUCCAAAUAACCAAUCUAACUGUUCACCUCAAGGAACUAAAAAAGGAAAAACCAAAUCCCAAAUGAGUAGAAGGAAGGAAACAGUAAAGGUCAGAGCCAAACUAAACAAAAUAGAAACUAAAAAUAUACAAAAUUUUAAUGAAACAAAAAGUUAGAUUUCUGAAAAGAUAAAAAAUUGAUAAACCAUCAGCUAGACUAACCAAGAAAAAAAA